AUACGGAGGGAUCGAACGUUAAUCGGAAUUACUGGGCGUAAAGCGCGCGUAGGCGGCUUUGUAAGUCGGAUGUGAAAGCCCUGGGCUCAACCUGGGAAUGGCAUUCGAUACUGCAUGGCUAGAGUAUGGUAGAGGGAAGUGGAAUUUCCGGUGUAGCGGUGUAAUGCGUAGAUAUCGGAAGGAACACCAGUGGCGAAGGCGACUUCCUGGGCCAAUACUGACGCUGAGGUGCGAAAGCGUGGGGAGCAAACAGGAUUAGAAACCCCGGUAGUCC
rnacentral:rRNA from 1 species